AUUUUACAACAUCUCCAUUUCUGAAGUGUUCUUUGACCUAUUGUUGAGAACUAGACAUAGGCUAUGAUGAGCUUAGAAACAGAAAAUACAAAGCAACCCUUUCCCUUUGUCUGUUUUACAGGGUGUUCAGUGCCUCACCCAUACUGCAGAUCUGCCAGAUGCUGGAUGCAGUCUUCCAACCCUCACAGGACUGACAGAGCAGCUAGUGUUACCACUCAAGAAAAAGGCAGAACAAUGUCUGAAUCUGUAUCUACAAGCAAUCGCAGAGGAAAGAUGCCAAAAACUCAACCUGGCUCCUUCAGAGGCUGCAAAAGUUGCUCCAGGACCUGACCGAUAUCCAACCAUCAUUUGUUGAAUGUGCGAAUAAAGGAAGAGAUGAAUAGAAAAGUGAGAAGUGG
ensembl:lncRNA